rnacentral:rRNA from 1 species
GUAAUGAGACUCAAAUUUGAAAUCUGGCUCUUCGAGUCCGAGUUGUAAUUUGUAGAGGAUGUUUCGGGUGCGCCCGCAGUUUAAGUUCCUUGGAACAGGACGUCAUAGAGGGUGAGAAUCCCGUCUUGAACUGUACGGCAAGUCCAUGUGAAACUCCUUCGACGAGUCGAGUUGUUUGGGAAUGCAGCUCAAAAUGGGAGGUAAAUUUCUUCUAAAGCUAAAUAUUGGCCAGAGACCGAUAGCGCACAAGUAGAGUGAUCGAAAGAUGAAAAGCACUUUGAAAAGAGAGUUAAAACAGUAUGUGAAAUUGUUAAACAGGGAAGCGUUUUGCAACCAGACUUGUUAUCUAACAGUUCUACCGCACAGUUCUCUGUGGCAUUAUUCUGUUAGUCCAGGCCAGGCAUCAGUUUGGGUGGCUCGUUCAAACAGACUUUGGGAAUGUAUCUACUCCUUCGGGUGUAGACUUAUAGCCCAAUUGUGUAAUAGGGUCUACCUGGACUGAGGUACGCGCUUAUUGCUCGGAUGCUGGCGUAAUGGUAUGUAAACGACCCGUCUU